rnacentral:tRNA from 1 species
GGCGGAAUGGCCGAGUGGUCUAAGGCGGCAGAUUUAAGCCCUGCUCCCGAAAGGGGCGCGCGUUCGAACCGCGCUUCCGUCA